UAACCUAUGAUGGGUUUUGUUUAACUUUCACUUUUAACGACUAUGCUCUGUUUUACUGACAAUGCUUGUAACUUUAACUAAUUCUCUUUGAAUUUAAGGUAAAAUCGGCCAGGAUGUGAAUAUCAAUGGAUGGAGCGAAAGUUUCGGCCAAAAUAAGAGUCGUGACGAGAUUAGGGAUGUGCUAAUAGGAAUCGAUAAAAGUUCUAAGGCAGGACGUUCGGGCGGCCAUUCAAGAAGUUGGCUGCGGCGCUGAUCCCGCUGGCGUUUCAGAUCGGAGCGGCAUCCACGUGGGCGGUGAUUGCGGCACUCGUGGGCGUGAAGACGCUCGUCAUCACCCUCAUCAUUCUGAAGUUGCUGUUGGUAGCUGGAGCUGCUAAGAUUGGCGCACUCUUUGGUCAGAAAGGUCACUAUAGCGGGGGCUGGGAGGCCCCACAUCCACAUCAAAAGGAAAUACAUCUUCACAUACAUAACGGUCAUCAUGAAACUCACGAUGAACCGAGUUUAAGUUCAUGGAGUAGAGAUGGCGCUCUUGACGGUGUAGAUAGCAACAUCAAUGUUAUGUUAGAGCCAUACGCAGCAGGACCUCAAACUAUAAGCACACCUUACGGAAAUUACGUCAAAGUUGAACCCUCUACCGGUCAAAACUCACCGACCACCGCUUUUUACUAAAAUAUUAAGAUGGUAAAAGGCGAGGAGAGAAUGUAGCAGUGUUCCUUGAAGAUAUUAUGGAAACGGAUUUAGAGUGGAUAAACGAUUGCGACAUGUUUUAUCACACCUCGGUCAUCGUUCUUAGGCCAUGGCCAUGUCUUCGUUUAUUUUAUUUCAUUCCAUAGAGAAUGGGCCGACCUAUCUAGCGCGUUUAGUAAAUUUGGGUGUAAAUUGAUUGGGAAAAAAUUGUCUUAACUUUAACAAUCGAGUGUAAAUUAGUCGUAGAGACAACGUUACAGAGCAAAGUAGUAUUAAUAGCGAAGUCGUUAAUUUUAUUAAACUUAUUUAGGUACUUGGUAGUUGGUGCCUACGAAUAAAUGAUAUAAAAUAUCAAAAAUAAUAUUAUUAUAAGACUGGGUUAAUAAAAAAAUAAAACAAAACGUUUCUAAGUUACAUCAAAACUUUAUUUGAUAUAAUACUUUAAAUACCGCCAAUUUCCAGGUUUCUAUACACCUUCGGAACUACCUACACAUCGAUGAGAACGAUUCAGCGGCCAUCACACAGCGAUCACGUACCGUAUCACCCUGUAAUAAGACUCAAAAUUAUAUCGAUUACACUGUGACCCUACGUUGAACUUAAAUGGUUUGAAAGUUAAGAUAAAACCCCUGCUCUGCAUUUUGCCAACGGUAACAGGAUUGCAUGUGGCUUCUUGCGGUUCCUUUGAGUGUUCUUUUGAUGAUGUUAUGAACAUGAAAUAUUGUCAAAGAUAUCUUGAGUCUACCAAUUGCUGUGGUCGAGGAAAUGAACCUAUUUAUUAGUAGGAGUCUAAGAGAAUUAUAAUAUGUGGGUACUAUAAUAUUUAUAUCCAAGGUUAAUACCUUGCAUAUACAUACACCUUAAUAGGUGCAUCAUAUGAAUUAUGACAAAAUAUUAUAAACUAUGGUAAAUGCUACAAACGUAACUUAAUUCUUGCAUACUUUGUACCUCUUAACGGAUAUAGAGUACUGACUACUGUGUAGGUGGUGAGUUUUUGGCAAGACUCCAUUUUAGUUAAUAGCGCCAUCUAGUUUCAUAAAGCAAUCAUAUUUCCUCAUUUUUCAUAUCAAGGCUAAAUAAAAAAAGCACGGGUUUAUAUCAUAAUUUUCAAUAAUAAUUUAUAAAUAAUUGGAAUUAUUUUAAGAAAUAUUUAUUUUUAUUUAUAAGAACAUUCAAGAUUCCUGUGCUUGUAUUAUUUAAGUUAAUAUAAUAAAUUAUUCUUAAAUCUUUAA
rnacentral:misc_RNA from 1 species